CUUUAGUCAUCUGUCUCUCUCUCUCAUAUUCUCUUUUUUCUCUUCCCUACCUCCCACACUUCCCCUGUCUGCCAUAAAUACAUAAAAAAGUUGAGGGGAAUGUCGUCUGGUUCGAGAUCAUUCAUGUAAGUAGUCUCAGACGUAACUCUUCUGGGUGAUUUCGGACCAGGCUUCAUUCCCCUCAGCAACCAACCAAAAGCAGACACUAUUUUCUUCCACUCCUACAUACAUAGACAACCUUCUUUUCCUUUCAUCACUCUCCUUCUCAUGUCGUGUUCUUGAUGUUCUAAGGCAAUUGUACAUCAUUGCAUAAAACGGGGAAACUGCAGUUACAGGUGACAGGAACAUGCAGAUGGUAGAGUAUGGAUCGGGGAGUAUCACUUGUCCGUUCAAUUGCACAAAAGGCGAAAAGAACAGUAAAAUAAUUCUGGCAUGUUUCACCUGGGAUGGAAAGAAAACCCCCAGGCAGAUGAAAUAAAAAGAACAGUUAGAGACAGCCUUAAAAAGGAGUUCGUAGGGUCAUCCCAAUUCCCAAAGCAGACUCCAGUGUUGGUUCAUUCCAUGAUUGAUUAAUUACAGGCAGAGGCUCCAUAGAAUCAGAUUCCAGAUCACUUACCUAAGCCACCAAGCAACUUCCACCUAAAAGAGACUUCAGAAGGCACAGAUAACAAACUACAUGCUUCUUUGGCACCUGCAAAGCUGGCAUGCACAUGCCACAGAACCACCAAUUACACCACCUACACCUAAACCUCCUUUUUUCUGCAUAUUUCCCAACAACCAAACAUUAACCUCCAUUCUAUUAUCAUCACUCACUAGAGCAGCUAACACAAAAAUGAAAACUUCCUUUUCAUGCUACAACGGCAAGAUAUUGUUACAUGAUCCAAGUAUUUGGAAUACUAAGUGUAAGUCUAAAUCUCAAUAGAAAUAAGAAAAUACAAUAUUAUAUAUAUAGAUAAAAGACUCUUUAAUUUAUUAUUUUUGAUAAAAAAUUAUAUGAAUCCCUUGUAUAGUUAGAUUCAUCUGACUCUCCAUUGUUCACACUUUUAACUAAUUCUUUGAACCGUUCUCUUAUUAGAUAAAGUUUAUGGAGAAUUUUUUUUUUCAAA